rnacentral:rRNA from 1 species
UACAGAGGUCUCAAGCGUUGUUCGGAUUCAUUGGGCGUAAAGGGUGCGUAGGUGGCGCGCUAAGUCAGGUGUGAAAUUUCGGAGCUUAACUCCGAAACUGCAUUCGAUACUGCCGUGCUUGAGGACUGGAGAGGAGACUGGAAUUUACGGUGUAGCGGUGAAAUGCGUAGAUAUCGUAAGGAAGACCAGUGGCGAAGGCGGGUCUCUGGACAGUUCCUGACGCUGAGGCACGAAGGUCAGGGGAGCAAACGGG